AUAAGAGGUCCUGCCUGCCCUGUGACCCCUGGUUCAACGGCCGCGGUAUUUUGACCGUGCAAAGGUAGCGCAAUCACUUGUCUCUUAAAUGAGGACCUGUAUGAAUGGCACAACGAGGGCUUAACUGUCUCCUUUUCCCGGUCAGUGAAAUUGAUCUUCCCGUGCAGAAGCGGGAAUCCUAACAUAAGACGAGAAGACCCUAUGGAGCUUUAGACUUUCGAACAGAUCAUGUAAGCUACCCCCAUGAAAUGGGUAAUAACUAUUGAAUUCCUGUUCUCCUGUCUUUGGUUGGGGCGACCACGGGGAAGAAAAAAACCCCCAUGUGGACCAGGAGCACAUUACUCCUACAACCAUGAGCCACAGCUCUAAUGCACAAAACCUUUGACCAUUAGAUCCGGCAAAGCCGAUCAACGGACCAAGUUACCCUAGGGAUAACAGCGCAAUCCCCUUUAAGAGUCCAUAUCGACAAGGGGGUUUACGACCUCGAUGUUGGAUCAAGACAUCCUAAUGGUGCAGCCGCUAUUAAGGGUUCGUUUGUUCAACGAUUAAAGUCU
rnacentral:rRNA from 1 species